GCCACCCAACACGAUGGUGCAUCACACGCGCCCUGUGUGGUUUCCUUCUGAAUCAGUGACGUCUCUUUACUUUCUUUCCUUUUUUUUCGCUUUCAAGGUCGUGUAAGGUGUGUGUGUGUGUAUGUUCGUCGCCGGCGAAGAUGGUGACUGGCUCGCAUCGACAUAUCCUUCCACAUGGGUGCGCCUCCCCUUGUCUCCCCGCCCCCAUGCGCCACUUACUGUUCUACUUCUCUCCUUCAACUUGGACGAGGGCUCAUCGCGUCGCAGCAGCGUUUUUGCUGUCCCUCUGUACUUUUUUUUGUUGGUCUCCUUCCUCAGUACGCUUUCAUGGAUUCUUCUUUUAAUUUUUUUUAUGGCCUUUUGCGUCCGCAGACGGGGUCACUGGGACGCCGCUGGACGUCGACCUGGAGCUCGAGCGCUUCUUCUAUGAGUGGGGGCUUCCUUACCACGGCACGGAGCGAUGACUGCGCGAUCCAGCUCGCUGGCCACCUUGGCGAGGGAUAUGACGUGAUGCCACCAGCCAUCACAGACGCCUCAUAAUGCCCCUUUCAGAAGGGGGGGGGCUCGAAACUGUGCCGCGCCCUAAUUGCCAAAUCGAUCCGCAAAGAGUGCGUGCCCACCAAAGCGGCAGAGAAGCGAAGGCGCGAGCUUCAGCGUGCCGCGCUGACCCCCGCCACCACAAAAACCACAACCACACACGCACAACUGCACAGUGUCACUCAGGGAUAAGAGCAAGCCUCAUGUCUAGAGUGGUCUCUCAGGCCACCAGGAGUGCUGUCCCGUCUGGUGAAUGCUCUUGUAGACGAUUCUGAUGCGAAAACGGAUGCAGCUGGAAGCAGCUUUCGUGAACGCAGCCUGCGCGUCUCCCGAGCAUUCCCUUCGCUCGCACAUGCCCAUUAAAGAGCCAGACUCGAGGGAUGGAUGCAGUCCCGCUGCGCCCUCACUCCGCCCCGCCCUGUCACGCCGACCAGCACCCGGCGCGAAAGCCCCUCCAGCGAGUAGCCUCGCGACGACUGCGCGACGGUUCUGCGAGACAGGUUCCAGCAGCGCCAGCAAGGGACACAGAGACAGCCGCUGCGCUUGUCGACCCUACCGACCGCACGCUCGGCUGCGCACAUCACGGCGCCUCAGAGGCCCAGCCGCGCCCCGCACCACACUCGCCGCAUCAUGGCUCUCCCACACCAUCGCCCCCGCCCUCUGUGUUCGCGCCGCCCACAAGAACAAGUCCAAGAUGGCAAGGCGUGCAUGCCCAGUCGCACAACCAUCCCUCCUGGACCCUCUUCGCCUCAUCAUGGUGGUGGACCCCCCCCCCCCCGAGCGUGCAG
rnacentral:misc_RNA from 1 species